rnacentral:rRNA from 1 species
AACGAACGCUGGCGGCAGGCUUAACACAUGCAAGUCGAACGGGUGUAGCAAUACAUCAGUGGCAGACGGGUGAGUAACACGUGGGAACCUUCCUAGGGGUACGGAACAACUCAGGGAAACUUGAGCUAAUACCGUAUACGUCCGUAAGGAGAAAGAUUCAUCGCCCCUAGACGGGCCCGCGUCGGAUUAGGUAGUUGGUGGGGUAACGGCCUACCAAGCCUACGAUCCGUAGCUGAUCUGAGAGGAUGAUCAGCCACACUGGGACUGAGACACGGCCCAGACUCCUACGGGAGGCAGCAGUGGGGAAUCUUGGACAAUGGGCGCAAGCCUGAUCCAGCCAUGCCGCGUGAGUGAAGAAGGCCUUAGGGUUGUAAAGCUCUUUUACCAGGACGAUAAUGACGGUACCUGGAGAAUAAGCCCCGGCAAACUUCGU